UACGGAGGGUGCAAGCGUUAUCCGGAUUUACUGGGUUUAAAGGGUGCGUAGGCGGCUUUUUAAGUCAGUGGUGAAAGCCUAGUGCUCAACACUAGAAUGGCCGUUGAUACUGGAGAGCUUGAGUCAAGGAGAGGUAAGCAGAAUUUAUAGUGUAGCAGUGAAAUGCUUAGAUACUAUAAGGAAUACCAAUAGCGAAGGCAGCUUACUGGCCUUGUACUGACGCUGAGGCACGAAAGCGUGGGGAGCAAACAGG
rnacentral:rRNA from 1 species